GUAGUCUCCCAGAGGAUGACGUCAGCGCUUGGACAGUUACCUAUAAAAGCUCCCGAGCAGGUUUCAUUGGCUACCUCUCAGCAGCGCCAUCUACAUCUUGAAGAACAUUUUCGCAAGGGGCUUUCCGCCACUCGUCCACAAUGAAGGCUUGUUACAUCUUCUUACUGUUGGCCUUACUGGCUACUGCGUCCUUUGCCCAGAUGCCAAACAUGAUGCUUCCCAUGAUGAUGGGUGGUGGCAGCGACAGUGCCUUGAUGCCCUUGAUGAUGAUGAUGAUGAUGGGUGGAGGCGGCUCGCAGGGUGGUGGUGGUGGAAUGAACAUGAUGUUACCGAUGUUGGCCAUGGGCGGUGGCAGCGACAUGUCGAUGAGAAUGAUGAUGAUGAUGAUGAUGAAUGGCAUGGGAGGUGGCAUGGGCGGUGGUAUGGGGAGUCCGAUGGGAGGCGGUGGUAUGAUGUAACAAACUCGUGUCGAGCUCGUGCGGUACGUCUCAAUGCUCUCGAACCAGCUUGAAUGCUGGGAAUGCUUGGAAUGCUGGGAAUGCUGCUUGGGUGAAGAGAAGAAGAACCGUGCACCGCAGUGCUUGUUUGGUUGAACGGUGUAUAAACAACUCGUCUCCUGCUUUCACGAAGCAAACAUCAUCUGACGACCACAUAGACCUCCAUCAACACUCUCCUUCCAUCGUCUUCGUUGACCUCUUGAAUCUGAGCAUUAAGUCAAUGUCUGUAUCCCGUCUAUUCAAAUUCAAUAAAAUCUUUCACAUUCCUUUAGUAGUCAGACUGAUUUUGUCAGAAACAUGGAAGGAAAAUGACCUGUUCAUCUUAUUGGAUGGCCCAUUUACCAUGUAAAGUUCUAUUUACACAUUUUGUACAAAUUAAUUUUAUUUUUAAAUUCUUCAAAAACCGGAAGUAUUUGCUUGUUUUAGAAUCUAAGCUAGUGUUUUGUUUUGUGUGCUCAUUUUCAUACGCUUUUAUAACCUGUUUUAUGAUCCUUGAAGGACGCACCUUUAUUAUGAAGGCUUAUAUCUUGCUUUUCUUAAAAUGAACUUUAUUCAUUUAUUUAUCUAUGUUGUUUGUUUGUUUGCUAAAUAAUAAAAGUGUGGUCUUCAUCUUUCGCUUCAAUACCAGAGGUGAACUCUUUGAAAAUAAACUCAAUCAUGACGGACUUUUUGAAUUAAAAAUAAUGCUGUUGAGAUUUUUCACCCUCCCCACCUACACCCCCGCUAUAGUCAUUAAGGACUCAAAAAACUCCUAUGCAAGUGGAUGAACUCAAAAACUCCUAUUAAACAUGAUAGUUCAACUGUUGACUUCUGUCUUACUUUUUAAGCUAUUUCUUCCGAUGUCCAAGAAACUAAUUUUAAUAUGACCUUUGCCUGAAAUAAUCCUCGCGACUUUAAAGAACAGCAAAAUCAACUGACAGCCAUUUCUAUCCCCGCCUACAUGGUAACUUAAAUACUUAUUAUAAUGCUCAACCCUCCAAGCAGCCAUUAUUAUUAAUACUUGAAUACUUUUCUGCGUAUAGUCGACGUAUUUUCUGAGAAGGCGCAAGAUAACAAAACAAAAGAAAACCAAAAAAAAAAAAAGACAAAAAAAAAAAAAAAAAAAAAAGAAAGAAAAAAGGAGUGGACAGUUCAGGGUUCAGAAAGGUUUCUAGUCGUGGUAAAGUCAUCUGUGGAUAGUCUUCCUUUUAAAGAGUCUAGCAGAAAAAAGUUAUUAAUUUCUGUGACAGACAUAAGGUGGAUGGAUGAGCUUGCAACUUUCAUAUUCAACAUGACUUCGCGGAAAGCCGGAUCCUGAUUUCACAUUAACACAAACAUUUAAGAUGAAAUAUUUGACAAGCUGUCUCAUAGAUUGAUCUAUGGUGUUCACUGCUGGUAUAACUUGCUGGGUUGGUUAAUUUUGGUCUCAUUCAGCCGUGUCUCUGAACAUUCUCCUCGUCGACUUGUCUAAAGGUAGGAGGCACUACAAGCCAACAUGAAAUACACAGCUUUUCUGGUUUUGCUGUUCCUCCUGACACCGCGGGCAGACGGACAAGCUCGAGCCAACUCGAACAUGAAGUUGCUUCCCCUCUUCUUCAACAAUCUUAACGGAGAAAACUCCAUGUUAUACAUGAUGGCAAUGCGGAACCCACAGAUGAUGCAGUACAUGCUACCUCUCGCGGCUGGCUCUGGCAACGACAAUCUCACGAGACUUCUGACGAUGAUGCUCGGCACUAGGGGGCUAAAAGGCACAGCUGCCGUAGGAGGAACAGCGAAGGGCGGAAGAGCUUUCUAAUUUCUAAGACACGGAAGUUGUCUCCCUUUGCGGUAGUGGCACAGGAACUCUCUAGACAGCAGAAACUCCUUUAGCUACAUGUUCAGCCCCGCUUUGGCUACAAUUUACUUUUUUAACUACAUGUUGAGUCUGGUGACUUUAUCUCCUGGGGCUGAAGUUAUGAAACGAGGCGAAGUCUUUGUCCUGGAGCAGCAUGGGGAACCCUAGGACAAGCGAGUUGUUUCCGAAGUUAAAGCGGUGUCCACACCCCGGCAGAUGUCGCAUUAAUACUGUAUGUCAAAAUGUCAAAACAUGUCAAAACAUGAAGUAGUCUACUCUACAUGGUGUCUAGGCUACGUAUUGUUAUUAUGAAAAUAAUACUUUUUUAUUUUGCCCGAGGGAAACGACUUUCUCUCGCUUCAUAACCACGCCCCAUCCUCCCUCCUCCCCUGUUGAUGCAGGAAUUUCUUUCAAAUUAAUGUAGACUGUUUUAUGAUCCCUUGAGAUUUCAGACAGUUUCUGGAUAUCCGAUGAAGUUCAAGGUGUUAAUGUUUGGUAAAUAAAGUUGUUGUGUUGCUUGGA
rnacentral:misc_RNA from 1 species